CAAGUCGAACGAAUCCCACCGGGCUUGCUCGGUGGGGGAAGUGGCGAAAGGGGCAGUAAGGCGUGGGUAACCUACCCUGAGGACCGGGAUAGCCGGCCUAACGGCCGGGUAAUACCGGGCGCGGUGACUGGGGGGCAUCCUUCGGUCAUGGAAUGAGUUUCGCCUCGGGAGGGGCCCACGUGGUAUUAGCUUGUUGGCGGGGUAACGGCCCACCAAGGCUCAGAUGCCUAGCCGGUGUGAGAGCACGACCGGCGCCACUGGCACUGAGACACUGGCCAGACUCCUACGGGAGGCUGCAGUCGAGGAUCUUCGGCAAUGGGCGCAAGCCUGACCGAGCGACGCCGCGUGCGCGAUGAAGGCCUUCGGGUUGUAAAGCGCUGUCGAGGGGAAGGAAGGCGCAAGCUUGACCGACCCCUGGAGGAAGCACGGGCUAAGUUCGUGCCAGCAGCCGCGGUAAGACGAACCGUGCGAACGUUGUUCGGAUUCACUGGGCUUAAAGGGCGCGUAGGCGGGUGGCCUGGUCGGGGGUGAAACCUUUCGGCUCAACCGGAAGCCUGCCCCCGAUACCGGCCGCCUGGAGGGGGGUAGGGGCACGCGGAACUUCCGGUGGAGCGGUGAAAUGCGUAGAUAUCGGAAGGGACGCCGGCGGCGAAAGCGGCGUGCUGGACCCCACCUGACGCUGAGGCGCGAAAGCCAGGGGAGCGAACGGGAUUAGAUACCCCGGUAGUCCUGGCCCUAAACGAUGGGUACUAGGUAGUGGGCCGGACAUGGGCUCACUGCCGGAGCCAAAGUGCUAAGUACCCCGCCUGGGGAGUAUGGCC
rnacentral:rRNA from 1 species